UGACACCACGGUUCAGUUUCUCUUUUUCGUUGAACCACGCCUCGAGUACAGCAAGCAACGGUCGGCAGCCAAUCGAUACCGCCUCUGACGGAGCCGCAACACACAGGGAAUGGUCACGGAGAAGAGGAAGGUGGCCGCCACUUUGCUCAGCCGGAGGCCGAAGUGAUCGUGCCGACGGCAGAAACUGCGCGGCUCUUUCAAGAACUACCCAUGCAGCGAAGCCACACAACAAAAUAUGAACGCGUCAGUUGGGGCUUAUAGGCACUUCGUAGCUCUCAUAAAUUGACAAGCAUGAAUACAGAACUAAUAUAUUUGAAGCUCAAAAGCUGGGCAAAAAAAAAAAAAAAAUAG